AAUAAAAUAAAAUAAAAUAGAAAGUCCUGUGCAAACUGGGAUAUGUUGGUCACCUUUUAUGGUGGCAAAAGACCAGGGAACCUGGGUUCCAAGCUAAGCAAAGGCUUCCUUGCAGUCUCUGGUUUCCUCUGUCUUCCAUCCUUACAUCAAUACAGCCUCAACUCCGCUCACCCUGCCUAGUAACCCAGCUUACAGCUCUGGUGCCUGCCUGCCCCUCCCUUCAAUGGCCACACGGCCGGUACAUCUGCAGAUGGAGCUGGACUCCAUCUGUCUCUCAAGGGUUUUGUAUUCAAAAGAGGGAGAAGGUACAGCCUUUUCCUGCUAAAAAAAAAAAAAAAAAAAAAAAAAAAAGGAAAGAAAUAUAUGUAUAUAUUUCUAUGCCUCUAUUUCUGUAUCUCUAUAUCUCUGGAAGAAGAAAACUGGUCACAGUUUUUGUUUCUGGGAAAACAAACAAGGUGGCCAAGGCACAAGGGUAAGAGAUUAGGAGGGAGGCUUUUCCCUUUUUUAGUAGCUUUAUUGAGAUAUAAUUCACAUUCACCUAUUCACCUAUUUUAAGUGGACAAUUCAGUAUUUUCUAAUUUUUGACAGAUCUGUGCCACCAGGAAGGAGACUUUUUAAAAAUAUAUUUAUUUUGAAAGAGAGAGAGAUAGAGAGGGAGAGGGAGAGAGAAUGAGUGGGGGAGGGGCAGAGGGAGAGAGAGAAAGAGAGAGAGAGAAUCUUAAGCAGGCUCCACACCUAGGGCGGAGCCUGACACGGGGCUUUGAUGCUUCCGGGAUACAUGCGAUGAAAAGUCACAUGGGGCGCAAGCCACACCCCAAACAGCAAGACCCCUCAGUGUUUUCAUUGGUUGGGUAACUUUUGUUGCCAACCAUCAGAGAACCGAGGGGAGCUCCUCCUAUGACUGGGAUCCAGUCUUCCCCCUCUUGCAUCUCCAGGGACCUGCUUCUUUGCAGAGCACUGAUUUUAGCAUAGCACUAGGUCAGGAUUUUCAGGUACUUGUCACCAAGCAUGGCUUCCUGGGAUAGCACCGUGUACAAGGGGGUGAUCAUACAUUUGGUCUCACAACUCUCUCCAACACGGCACAAGUUAGAACAUCUUCAAAAAGGUGUUUAUGUUUAUCUUAAGUGUUCUUUCUAAAUUCACUCUGAUUUGCAACAGUGAAUCUAUGUUACCCGUGUAUUUUUUAAGUUAAAAAUAAGUUAAAAUUUAAGGCCUCCUACAGGAAGCCUUCCUGACUCCUCCCUCAUUUCCUCAUGAUAGUUUUGGUUCCUUUAGUUUCCAUAAAAUCAACCUCUAGCUCACCUCUAGCACAGAGAUUAUUCUAAGGCAUUUUAAUCACCUGUUUAAUUACCUGGGUCCCCUUUAGACUGUGAUUUCCUUAGGGCAGGUGCUGUGCCUUUCAUAACUGGGUCUCUAGGGUCUUGCAUGGAGACUGGUGCACUGAGCCUUCAUCUUUCCACCUCCCCUAAAGUGUCCCGCUUUUCACACCCAGCUCUGUCAACAACUAACCUUACCACACCGAUUCUCAAAGAACCCAAGGAAGACUUCUUUUCUUCAUUCGGCUGGCAUAUCUUACUAAGCCCUGAGUACCCAACUGUAUGCAAUAAUACGAGAAAGUGAGGAUUCCAGAGGGACUUGAACACACCCAUCUUAGGAAUGCUAGAAAUUAAGGCGAGUCCCAGGCAUGUUAUUUAGGUGGGAACUAUAUUCAUUCAUAUGUUCAUACCUCUGGAAUGAAAGUUAAAGGAAGGGAAGAGGGUGGUGAGUUAGGGGCUGGAACUAGAUCUUGAGACAAGAUAAAAAUUGGAGGGAGGAAGGACAGGGAAGGCACAAAUCUCUGCUUUGGAAAACAAACUGUUGGAGGAGGGACAGAGCAUCAUACAAACACUGAACUUACACAAAUUCAAUUAGGUAUACUUGGAAGAAAGGAAGGGAGGAAAAGGGAAAGAAGAAAAGGGGGAAAGGGUGGAAAAAAGAUACAAGAUGAAUAAAUAUUUAGAUGAUACAAGCUUUUAUAAUUUUUUUUAACAUACCAGAGAUCCUAUAUAACAUUUCACACAGUUGUUUCUAAAGAGCUUGAGAAGGAAGACGUGACAUCUAUUUUCCACUGGUGUGUAGGGAUUCAGUUUUGACCACUUGGAUUAUUAGAAAAGGUUUUUUUUUUUUAAGUUUAUUUAUUUUGAGAGAGACAGAGCACGAGUGGGGGAGGGGCAGAGAGGGAGAGAGAGAAUCCCAAGCAGGUUCCAUUUGCGCAGUCAGCACACAGAGCCCGAUGUGGGGCUCUAAUCCAUGAAACCGUGAGAUCACGGGUUGAGCCGAAAUCAAGAGUCGGUCACUUAACCGACCGAGCCACCCAGGCAGCCUGGGGAUUAUUAGGGGAGCUUUAAAAAACAAAACAAAACAAAACACAAAUGCCUGCAUCCCACCCGCAAAAAUCUGAUGUAAUUAAUUGGUCAGAGGUGCAGCCUGGGUUUCAGACUGGUUAAGAACUCCCAAGUAAUUUUCUUUAGCAAUUUUAAAAAUUGUGGUAAAAUGCACAGAACAUAAAAUUUAACAUCUUAACCAUUUUAAAAUUUUUUUUUAACUGGGGUUUAAAUAUACUCAUAAUGUUAGGCAACCAUCACCACCAUCCAUCUCCAAAACUCUUUUCAUCUGUAAAACUAAAACUCUAUACCCAUGGAACAAUAACUCGCACCCCUCACCUCAGCCCCAGGAAAUCAUCAUUCUACUUUCUGUCUAUAUGAUUUUGGCUAUUUAAGUACCUCAUAGAUGUGGAAUCAUACAGUACUUGUCUUUUGUGUCUGGCUUAGUUCAACUAGCAUGAUAUUGUCAAGGUUCAUCCAUGUUGUUAGCAUGUGUCAGAAUUCCCUUCCUUUUUUAAAAAUAUUUUUUAAAAAAUGUUUAUUUAUUUUUGAGACAGUGAGCAGGGGAGGGACAGAGAGAGAGGGAGACACAGAAUCCGAAGCAGGCUCCAGGCUCUGAGCUGUCAGCACAGAGUCCAACACGGGGCUCGAACUCACGUGCCACGAGAUCAUGACCUGAGCUGAAGUCAGACGCUUAACUGAGCCACCCAGGCACCCUGGAAUCCCCUUCCUUUUUAAGGCUGAAUAAUACUCCACUGUGUGUAUAUAACACAUUUUGCUUAUCCAUUUCACAUUGUAACUAUUGUGAAUAAUGCUUCUAUGAACAUGGGUGCACAGAUAUCUCUUUGAGACCCUGCUUUCAGUUCUUCUGUGUAUAUACCCAGAAGUGGAAUUGCUGGAUCAUAUGGUCAUUCUAUUUCUUUUCUUUCUUUUUUUUUUUUUUUUUGGUCAUUCUAUUUCAAGUGUUGGAGGAACCUCCACACUGUUUUCCAUAAUGGCUGCACCAAUUUACAUUUCCACUGACAGUGCAUAAGGGUUCUAAUUUCUCCCCAUGCUUGUCAACACUUGUUAUUUUCUGGGUUUUUGGUAGCGGUCAUACUAAUGGGUGUGGGGUGGUGUCCUCUCGUAGUUUUGGUUUGCAUUUCCCUAACGAUAGUGAUUUUAAGCGUCUUAUGAUGUGCUUAAUGGGGAUUCAUAUACCGUUUUAUGAAAAAUAUCUAUUCAAGUCCUUUCCUUGUUUUUGAGUCAGGUUGUUCAAUUUUUUGGCUGUUAAAUCUUAGAAGGCCUCUGUAUAUUCUGGAUAUUAAUCCAGAUCCCUUAUCAGAUACGUGAUUUACACAUAUUUUCUCCCAUUCUGUGGGUUGCCUUUUUAUUCUGUUGAAUAAAUCAUCAAAUGGGGGCACCUGGGUGGCUCAGUCAGUUGAGCAUCUGACUUCGGCUUAGGUCAUGAUCUCACAGUUCAUGAGUUCGAGCUCCAUGUCGGGCUCUGUGCUGACAGCUCCGAGCCUGGAGCCUGCUUUGGAUUCUGUGUCCCCCUUUCUCUCUGCCUCUUCUCCCCUGCUUGUGCUCUGUCUCUCUCUCAAAAACAAAUAAACAUUAAAAAAAAUUUAGGGUGCCUGGGUGGCUCAGUCAGUUAAGCAUCCUACUUUGGCUCAGGUCAUGAUCUCACAGUUCCUGGGUCCGAGCCCCGCGUGGGGCUUUGUGCUGACAGCUCAGAGCCCGGAGCCUGCUUUGGAUUCUGUGUCUCCCUCUCUCUCUGCCCUUCCCCCGCUCUCUCUCUCUCUCUCUCUCUCUCUUUCUCUCAAAAAUAAAUAAACAUUAAAAAAAAAUUUUUUUAACCAGAAAAGGUGGGGGGAGGGUGUGAAUCAAGCAUUUCAGUACAAACUAUACCACUGAGUAAUGAAACAUGAUGAGGGAGGCUUCUCUUUAUAGAAGUAUUCUACUAAUGAAGAAGUAAGGAUAGAAUUAGAAUUCUGCCGUUUUGUACCUCUGAUGAAUUAACGGGUGUAGACCCUAGAGCCAGGCAGUGGCAUCACAAUAGAUAGACAACCAUAUGUAAUAUACCACCGGAUAAAAGUAUAUGGUACUACUUAUGAAGUCAUCUUGCUACCAAAGAAAUGUUAAAAACCAAUCCUAAAUUGCAUCAAGCCUAUAGAUAUAACUACCCGUUCAUGGGAAAGACAAGGGACAGAGGAAUAUUUCAACUAACUCCACGGGGAUGCAAUAAGCAAAAUCUGAACUAUGAGAAACAGCAAACAAAUUACAAGGGGUAAAAAGAGAUGGGGGUGAUCCUGUAGAUUAAAAGAGAUUAAGAGGGGCGCCUGGGUGGCUCAGUCAGUUGAGUGCCCAACUCUUGAUUUCGGCUCAGGUUGUGAUCUCACCUUUUGUGAGUUUGAGCCCUGCGUUGAAAACUCCCCAUGAGGCUCCGUGCUCAUCAUGUGGGGUCUGCUUGGGAUUCUCUCUUUCCUUCUCUUUUCUUUCUGCUCCUCCCCUGCUGGUGCAUGCACACAUGCUCGCUCUCUCUCUCUCUCUCUCUCAAAAUAAAUAAACUUAAAAAAAUAAAAUAAAAGAGAUUUAAGAGAUGUCAAUCAGUUGCAGUGUGUGCACCUGUGCAGAAAAGAGUUAACACAGCGGGCCUGAGCCUGCUACCCUAAAAACGCCUGCUUGCAAGGAUGGCCCUUGGCUGGCAUCUGGGAACUUAGAUUGGGGUGGGUUCUCACCAUUCCCUAAUAAGAAUGUCUCACUUUGCAUAAACUAUAAAAACAAUGUAAUUUGUGCUGAAUACCUGCUUUCCUACUGGGAGUCUGGAAUUUUGGUACAUGCCAAGCAGUGGGUACCCAUAUAUGAUCAGCUCUGAGUAAAAUCCACAGUCACUGAGUCUCUAGUGAGUUUCUCUGGCAGACAUUUCACAUGUGUUGUCCUAAUUCGAUGCUGGAGGAGUUAAGUGCAUCGUGUGUGGCUCCUUUGGGAAAGGACUUUUGGAAGCUCCCUUCUAAUUUCCUCUGGAAUUCAUUCUGUAUGCCUUUUCCCUUUGCUGAUGUUGCUUGUGUCCUUUCUUUGUAAUAAAUUACAGCUAUGAGUAUGA